GAAAUGCGAUAAGUAGUGUGAAUUGCAGAAUUCAGUGAAUCAUCGAGUUUUUGAACGCAAGUUGCGCCCUAAGCUUCCGGGCCGAGGGCAAGCCUGCGUGGGCGUCAAGUUACGUUGCUCGUUCACCCUCCUCGAGGUCCAUCUUCUUGAGGCCUCUUGGUUAAGGUGUUCGAAGUGGAGAUUGACCCUCCAUUCUCUUUCGACGAAUGGUGGGUUGAAGUUUUUAGUGCCGCCGGAAUUCGUGCAAGGGCAUGACGGUUGAAGUCUUGUAGUCCGCUACGGCUUACUUGUCGUUCUCGUCGAUCCGGUGUCGUUCCCAGUUCAUGGCACUUUGCCUUGACCAACAUCGCGACCCCACGUCAGGCUAGAUCACCCGCUGAGUUUAA
rnacentral:misc_RNA from 1 species